rnacentral:rRNA from 1 species
AUGCCUCCCAAAUUGCCAUGUCAGCCUCUAACUUUUUCACCCUUCCUAGCAAACCAUUGCUUGGCUAUGUUACCGCUUUGCUCAGCUCCUCUUAUAGCAUUAUUAGUUGCAGGUGAAGUUGAAGAUUGCUCCAUGAUGGAUAGGAUUAUGUUGGGAUAUCACAAUAUCUCUUAUUUAAUUAAUGCAUCUAUAUACUUGGUAAAGGGUGGAAGACUCGGCCUUAUGCCUGGUGUUUUGUUCCACUCUUGCCUCCCUAGUUUCCGUCAUAACAGUGUUAUGUUCCUUGAUUUUGCGUUCCUUACACGGUUGGGUGAUUUAUGGGACCCCCUUGACAGUUCGCUUUGA